GAUGAACGCUAGCGGGAGGCCUAACACAUGCAAGCCGAGCGGUAUUGUUUCUUCGGAAAUGAGAGAGCGGCGUACGGGUGCGUAACACGUGUGCAACCUGCCUUUAUCUGGGGGAUAGCCUUUCGAAAGGAAGAUUAAUACUCCAUAAUAUAUUGAACGGCAUCGUUUAAUAUUGAAAGCUCCGGCGGAUAGAGAUGGGCACGCGCAAGAUUAGCUAGUUGGUGAGGUAACGGCUCACCAAGGCGAUGAUCUUUAGGGGGCCUGAGAGGGUGAUCCCCCACACUGGUACUGAGACACGGACCAGACUCCUACGGGAGGCAGCAGUGAGGAAUAGUGGGCAAUGGGUGCAAGCCUGAACCAGCCAUCCCGCGUGAAGGACGACUGCCCUAUGGGUUGUAAACUUCUUUUGUAUAGGGAUAAACCUACCCUCGAGAGGGUAGCUGAAGGUACUAUACGAAUAAGCACCGGCUAACUCCGUG
rnacentral:rRNA from 1 species